UACGAACUGUGCAAACGUUAUUCGGAAUCACUGGGCUUAAAGGGUGCGUAGGCGGCUUGUUAAGUAGGGUGUGAAAUCCCAAGGCUCAACCUUGGAAUUGCGCCCUAAACUGGCGAGCUGGAGUGAGAUAGGGGUGUGUGGAACUUCCAGUGGAGCGGUGAAAUGUGUUGAUAUUGGAAGGAACACCAGUGGCGAAGGCGACCACCUGGACUAAUACUGACACUGAGGUGCGAAAGCGUGGGGAGCAAACAGG
rnacentral:rRNA from 1 species